rnacentral:lncRNA from 1 species
AAAGAUGUCCUACAGUAGCUCUCUGAAGUAUUUAUGUGUUUUCCAAAGCGCUUACUCACCUUCAUUUCUCCAGCUACUGAAGUGCUCAGAUGGAGAGCUGCACCCUCCCAGCAAGAAAUGACCUGAGACUCACGAGCGCACUCAUACUUUUCCAUGGCCCAGGGAGCUGCAGGCCUGGCCUGUUGGGCAACGGGGCUGUGAACCGAUGCUGGUGGGAUUCCUGCAUUAGGCAACAGAGGCGUUAAUCCAACAGUUGGGAGGUGUGGUUGUGAAAGAGCCCAGCCAGGCCCUUAGCACACACCAACAGAAGGAUAUGGAACAACCGCGGAGUUGCACGGAGCUUCAGUUGCACCACUUCCUCUUGUGUGACAGGAUCGGGCUCGAAGGGAUGUUGCCAUGUCUCCCACGUUUUGUUUGUGGUCUCACCUCGCCUUGCUGAGACAGAUGUUUUUCACAAAGCCGUGCGCAUUGCCAGGUGGGCUUCCCUCUGUCACCUCUACAACCCUCUCCCCUCUCUUUGUGCAAAAAUGUGCUCUUGGCAGCCCCAGGUUCACCUGCUUUGGAGGCAGACCUGUGUCAGCUCUCCCUUUCCUCCUGGAGCUUUUCUAAUGCUUGUGCUGGAGAGGAACUUGUCAGCAAGAGGCUUCAGGCUGCGUUGCACUGGGAGUUCCCCAGGUAUGCUGUUUGCUGUGUGGAGGUGCAUCUGUUUCUGUGUUUUAUCCAAUAGGGCUGAAUAGCUGAAGAAUCUAUUGCGUUUAGCCUU